ACGCGGUCUUAAUGACUGAAAGAGUUGAUGCACCUAUAGUACCUAAUAUAUUAUAUGAAAAUAUGAAUUUAUUAAAAAUUUUAUGUAUUUUAGGUGAAAUUAUAAUAUGUUUUAAGUACAUAACCAUAAACCGCGUAUGUGUAGAAAGCUAGAAUCUGCAAUCGGCUUGUGUUUGUAGUCGAUUCGGUUAUAAUCCUUGGCGCUGUGUGGACAUGAAAAUGUCGAAGUUGAAAAGCCCUAUGAGCGAUGAGCGCAAGCGCGUUAGGCAUAAUACAAGAGCAAGAAGGAGCUACGAUUAUUUAUUAUUGUUUAUGUUUACAUGUGAUGUUUACAUAUUGCCAAAGCCAAGUGGCCAAAGUAUCAAUAAAAUCAAAUGGAAGUUAAACAAGAAGUUAGUGAAGAAACGUGUAAAAUAGAAAUAGAGAAUAAUGACGUGAAUGAUGCUCUUUUGGAUAACGUUAAAACUGAGAUUAAGGAAGAACCCCAGACGGAAAUUACACAUGAUUCAUUUGAUUAUUUAAACUUGGGGGAAUAUCCUUUAAAGACAGAAACAGAAUGUGAUGAAGAUAAACUCUGUCUGCUUCAAGUAAAACAAACAAAUGAAGGUUUCUCCCAGAAAAAAAUAUUGGAAAUAGAUGUUACAAAGAGGUUACCUGCAUGUAAUCAAAUAACUCAUAAUCUUGAAGAAACAACAUUCAAAAAUCCUAUUUGCGCUAAAGAUUUCCCUUACAAUAAUGAUUUAAAGGAACAAUCGAAAGAACAAAGUGGGGAAGGAUGUAACAAAUGUAAAACAUGUUUUAAGGAGUUUACUACAGCAUAUAAACUGAAAAGACAUUUACGAACACAUACUGAAAAGAAGCUUUAUACCUGUGAAAUUUGUUUAAAGCAAUUUACUAGAACACAUAGUUUACAAAUUCAUUUGAGAGUGCACACUGGAGAAAAACCUUAUAAGUGCGAAAUUUGUUGUAUGGAGUUCACCGGGAAACAAUUUUUGGAUAGACAUAAAGUGAGAAUGCACACUGCAAAAAAACCUUACGAGUGUGAAAUUUGUUUAAGGCAAUUUUGUGAGUCACUUGCUUUAAAGAGGCAUUUGACAGUCCACACUGGCGAAAAAGCUUACAAAUGUGAAAUUUGUUCCUUGCAAUUUAGUGCAGCCACUAAUUUGACAAAACACAGGAGGGUGCACAGUGGACAAAAGCCUUACAAGUGUGAUAUUUGUUUCAUGCAGUUUAGUGAAAUAGGGAAUUUGAAAAAACAUUUGAGAGUGCACACUGGAGAAAAGCCUUAUAAGUGUGAAACGUGUUCUAUGGAGUUUACUCAAGCAGGUUCUUUGAAGAAGCACUUGAAGGUUCACACUGGAGAAAAGCCUUACAGUUGUGAUAUAUGUUUAAAGCAGUUUAGUGAAACAGGAAAUUUGAUGAAGCAUUUGAGAGUGCACACUGGGGAGAAGCGUUACAACUGUGAAAUUUGUUUGAAGCAGUUUACUCGAGCAGGUACUUUGAAAGAUCAUAUGAGAUCUCAUGCUGGAAAGAAACCUUGGAAGUAUAAAAUUUGUUGUAUGGAGUUCACUGGGAAACAAUUUUUGUAUAGAAAUCCACGACGAAAAUAAAAUUUCUGUAGCUGGCUAUAUACCAAAAAUCACAAAAACAUACUGGAUCCUUUGUAAAAGAUUAUCAAAGCAAAAUUAUCCAAGAAGUUUGAUCUAUCGGAAUCGACGGUCAGAACAAUUAUAAAGGACAAGGAAAAAAU
rnacentral:misc_RNA from 1 species